CUUCAUAUUCUUGUGCAACAAUUCUCGGUUCGGCAUCACUACUAUAAAUAGGUCCUUUAGCGAUAAUUUUAUAGUGGCAUUAACUUAAUGGCCACUAAUUCAUUAUUUAGCGUGAAAUAUGACCGCCUAAUAGAUAUUGGCCAGAAAAAGGUGUUCUUGUACCGGCUAUAAAAUGGAAUGACCACUGAAACCACUAGUUUAUGACAUUUGUUGAUUAUUUUACCAUUCCCUCCAAAUAUUUUGCACACGAUGUACUUAUUCCCUCCUAAAAAUAUUCACGCUAAAUCACCAAUUAAUUUUAAAAAAAAUCAGAAGUUUUCUAGAAAGGCAAAAUAGCGCUGCAGCUCAACCCUAACCCAUUCGUCUCACCAUCGCCCCUUCAACAUACAGAAGAGACUAUUAAACAUUCUAAAGAGCUGUGGAAUUUGGGUGUUAGGGUUUGUGAAAAUCAGAGAUGAUGUUCGUCUGCGGGCUGAUCUGUGCAAUGAUGACGGUGGUUUUCUUCAUCCAAUAAUGAUAACAUUGUCGCUUCGGUGCUCUUCCAGCUGCUGUUCCAAAAAUCGAUCCUAUUGUAUAUGCUUUCCAGAAUUUUCAGCGAGAAAUUCAUCAACUUUAUGGGUGUACCGUCGAUCCUAAAUCAUUGUCAGGUGGCGAGUUCUUUCGAAUUUAUUAUUCUUUGCAGAAGAACAUUAAAACUUUGAAUCCAUGAUGGAAGUUCCAUGGAGGAGUUCAAGACGCUCAUUCAACCUUGCACGCUUUACUUUCUUGUUCUUUACACUAGAACAUCAAAAGCUAGUUGAACGCAAAAGGGUGCAGAGAAGUGUGGUGUCUGUGGUGGCAUUCCUUUGCAGAUGGGUAAUAUGGUUUUAUGAGUAGCAGUAGUAGCUAAAACCAAUCCUUGUCUUUGUGUUCUGUUUUGUGAAUUUUUUUCUCUAACAAAUGUUUCUUUAUUUUGUAUCUUGAUGGAAGGAACAAAUUGAUCGAGUCUGCAACACCAGUUGGACCCAAUGGUAAUUUUCUCCUUGCUUGAUCUGAGAAUGCACCUUAAUGUUAUAAUUAUUGAAGUUCCUUUAGAAAGAUUGGUUUUACUGCUUCUGCUCUUUUAUGUGAUUUCUUUGUCCUCUUGCUGGGUGUUUUGGAAUAUGAUGCACAUGAAUGCAUCUGUUGCUGAUCUCUUUAAAAAUACAAAUUAUUUAUGCUAUUGCCUUUGCAAGAUAACACACAUAUAUAAGUAAAUUGAAAACUUUGUGACAGUUAGUACAUUGAAGAAUGCAUGGUUAGACUCAAAGUUUAGAAUUUGUGCAACUAUCGGCUUAGCGCUAUGUUGAAUUAUGAGAAAUUUUGCAGUUGGUGUUUGUUUAUAGUGUAAACUGCAAAGGGACUACAGAAUUUGUUUAAAUUUAUAAAAAUGGAAUGGUUGUUGCUGAAUAGGAAGGGCUACUUUGAUUAAGGUUUUGCCUCGUUUUUAUUAGAGCAUAUGACUUCAGUGGUGGAGCUAAUUUGUUUAAAUUUAUAAAAAUGGAAUGGUUGUUGCUGAAUAGGAAGGGCUACUUUCAUUAAGGUUUUACCUCUCUUUUUUAUUAAAGCAUAUGACUUCAGGGGCGGAGCUAGCAUACUAAAUUGGGGAUAUAGCUUGUUGCCGACUAGUUUACCACUGUACUGUGGAUGGCCAGUUCUUGUUGCUGCAACCAUUGCUCUUCUUAUAUCGAGAACUAGUAUGAAAUCUUUUUCACUUACUCAGAUUAGGAUAGAAGGCUAGGUUGCUUAUCCUUUCACCAUAGUAGUUGUAGUUUUGCUCAUUCGUUUAUUGCCAUUUGAUUUCUGCUUAUAUUUGUUCGGCCUUUGUACUUUGAUUAUCUUAUUUAUCUAUAAUAGUUAAUGCUCCUUUCUUUCCGGACUGUUCUACCAUGACUUUGUCGCUUUUGUUAUUCUUUGUUUUCAUACUGUUUUUGAUAUGCUUGGCCCUAUCUGACCUUUUGUCUUGUUUUCCUCCCUUGAGCCAAGGGUCUUUCGGAAACAGCCGCCCUACCUUUCAAGGUGGGGGUUAGGUCUGCGUACACUCUACCCUCCCCAGACCUCACAUGAUGGGAUUCUACUGGCUUGUUGUUGUUGUUGUUGCUCGGGAGGUCAUACAAUAUGGAGUUUGAAAAUUUCGCUUUUGGAAGAUUCCAAUAUGAUGAAGAGUUGGGAACAUUAAUUGAUAAGAUUAGUUAUAUAAUGACAUUAGUUAUUUAUUUCAAACAAUAUCAUUUUAUUUUUUUAAGUUGUGACAUUAAUAUUUUGGAUUAUUACUUCUUUUUGUUUGUUUAGAUUAAUAAGAUGUACUUUGUUUAUGAA